CGACAACAAGACGGGGAGGCCCUGUUAGGAGUGAAAUGAAAAUGCUGAUUGGGGCAGAAAAAAUUGAGAAGUGUGCACGCGUCCGAUAAAAUACGCCUUGAAGCCAAACAGAUGCUGCCAUGUUGGGGCCAUUGACUGUACUUGACAGCUGGACCAACUCUUAUCCUUCUCACGUCUUCGACGGCAGCCUCCUCCUGCGCCGGCGUGGAGGUUUUUCCUGAGAAAUCCUGCAGGCCUUU